AUAUUUUUAAUUCUACAUUUUUAAAUAGUAAAAUAGUUAUAAUACAUUUGUCAUGUGCGAACAUUAAAGUGGUUUCCCUCACCAGGUAUGCAUGUAAACACGAGUAGUGUUUGGACAACCGGCAGCGUCGUCCAUGACGUAAAAUAUUAGAAUGUUACUAUAUUAAUAAUUUAUUUUUAGAAUUAACUGCUUGUCGUUAUCGGUUGUUCUAAUAGUAUAAUCGUUAUUAUUAUUGUUUACAUUUCUAUUUUCUACUGCGAAUUUUUAAAUAAUAAUAUGUGUAUUGUGUUUUAGCUUCGAUGCAAAGCUGAGAAGCUCUCACCGAACCGAUUUCUUUCAACGAUACAUCAAAAGUUCACAAAUCGUAUCUUGUCAAAACAUUAUCCUCAAAAAUUUGAGAAAAAAUUUUUCUCGUUCACCGUAAAAGGAGAAAUCUCCUAAAAAAUUGCAAAUUUAAAAAUCAGAAGAAAAGUUCAAGACUACUUUCGCCCAUUUCAAACGAAAUGUCUAGUAAUACAAAAAUCAAAAAAUUUAUGAAUGAUAAGGUAUCGGAAUAUCAACAGAUCAGAAAAAAAAACGGACGAACUUGUGGUUUGGGAACACAAAUAGAAUUAUUAGCCGCUGCCCAUGCUCUCGAUAUUUGCAUUUACGUCUAUGGAAAUGGUUAUGGAGAUAACUAUAAAUUUUAUUGGACAUUAUUUCAUCCAAAUUGGCCUGAAUUAGAAAAUCUUGAUAUGAGUAAUGAAAAAUGUUUAUAUGUUUCAAAAGCAUACUUCAGAUAUUAUUUGAGUAACAUUGAAGAUGUAUUUAAAAAAAAAUAGUUAUUUUGUUUUGUAAUUGUAAAUUGUAUAUUAUUUUUGAUACUAAUAAUAAUGAUAAUUUAUUUAUUUCAACAUUGAUAUAUUUAAAUUAUUUGAUUUUUAAAGGUUUAAUAAGUUUAUACACAAUUUAAAAUGAAAACAUUGUAAUUGUAUACAAUUAAUCAAAUAUUUUGAACGUUUUAGAUCUAUUGGCAAUGCUUAUAACUUUUGAUACAAUUAUUUUUUUCUUUCUUAUAAGUGAUAAAUAAUAAAAAUAUACUUUAAACAAACUCUAAGAUAGCAAUUUAAAGUUCAAUAACAUGAUAAUUGGGAAAGUUUACAAAUAUCAUAAAAAAAUAAUCGAAUUAAUAGGCCAUAACGGAAAAUGUAUAACUUUCAUGGCGCAUUGAAUAAUUCAAAAAGAAAGGGUCGCCAACUCACUGGGCGAGACAAUGUAUUGUGGGACCACAGUAGGAUUAAAAAAAUUUAAUUUUGUGCAUUAAAAACAAUUUAAUAUAAAAAAAAAGGAAAAAAUACUAAAAUUGUAUUUGAUGUUUGUUGAAUCAUUUAUAGUUGAUGUACACCAAAAUCUUGUGACAGUUGUUACAUAACCAUAUUGAUCGUACCUUAUACACUAGGGGAGUUGAAUUUUGAAAGAAAAAAAAAAUACACGAGUCCAUUGAAGAUGGAACACGCCAAAAAAAUAACAUAAUAGUUAACUUAAAUUAAGGAGACUUUAUUAUAAUACAAAAAAGGUAGUACGAGGCAAAAAACCUCGUCUAUAAAUUAAAGGGGAACAGCGAAAAAAAUAAAAACAGAUAUUAGUAAAAAAAAA